rnacentral:tRNA from 1 species
GGGAUUGUGGGGCUCAGUGGUUGAGCACUCACCUAGCACGUGCAAGGCCCUGGGUUCGAUCCUCAGCAUCACA